rnacentral:lncRNA from 1 species
CAAGUGCUUCAAGUCUCAUCAGUGAUUACUAUAGGACAGGUUGGUAAUUUCAAUUUAUAAUUGGUAAUACGUGCUAUCACUGCUGUCUCUGAGCUGCUGUUCUGUUUGGGACAGCUUGGGCUUUACAAGGCUUGCAGUUGCAGUUGGGUAUGAAAUUACAUGCUCCGCUAGGUUUUCAUGGCAGACUAGAAUAGAAUACUAUGCUUAAUUAUGCUAUACAUAGUUGAUCAAACUGCAGGGCAGGCAAGUUGGGGAGGGGAGAGGACUUGAAAUCAGUCAUUCCUUGCCUUGUUCUUAAGAAAUCCUUGCCUCACUUUCCUCCAUGCCCAUGUCUUGUCACAAACCCCAUAGAAGCUGCCCUCGGAGGCCUUGUGCUCAGCUUUUUGUCGUCGGUGGUGGCCAUACAAGACUGCUGCGGGCAAAAAAUUCUCUGGGAGCGGCUAUACUGCUUAAAUGUAUUUUAAUAUUUAACAAGUAUACCCGAG